GACGAACGCUGGCGGCGUGCUUAACACAUGCAAGUCGAACGAAGAGCGAUGGAAGCUUGCUUCUAUCAAUCUUAGUGGCGAGCGGGUGAGUAACGCGUAAUCAACCUGCCCUUCAGAGGGGGACAACAGUUGGAAACGACUGCUAAUACCGCAUACGAUCUAAUCUCGGCAUCGAGGAUAGAUGAAAGGUGGCCUCUACAUGUAAGCUAUCACUGAAGGAGGGGAUUGCGUCUGAUUAGCUAGUUGGAGGGGUAACGGCCCACCAAGGCGAUGAUCAGUAGCCGGUCUGAGAGGAUGAACGGCCACAUUGGGACUGAGACACGGCCCAGACUCCUACGGGAGGCAGCAGUGGGGAAUCUUCCGCAAUGGACGAAAGUCUGACGGAGCAACGCCGCGUGAGUGAUGACGGCCUUCGGGUUGUAAAGCUCUGUUAAUCGGGACGAAAGGCCUUCUUGCGAACAGUUAGAAGGAUUGACGGUACCGGAAGAGAAAGCCACGGCUAACUACGUG
rnacentral:rRNA from 1 species